rnacentral:misc_RNA from 1 species
GAUGAAGAACGCAGUGAAAUGAGAUAAGUAAUGUGAAUUGCAGAAUUCAGUGAAUCAUCGAAUCUUUGAACGCACCUUGCGCCUUUUGGUAUUCCGAAAGGCACACCUGUUUGAGCGUCAUGAAUACCUCAAUCUCCAUCUUUUCUUCGGAUUGAUGGGUGACUUGGAUGUUGAGCCCUGCUGGUAUGCUAUAUCAGCUGGCUUUAAACUUAUUAGCCGGCUCUGUACUGGAUCGGUUUGACUCGACGUGAUAAUAUUAUCGUUGAGGAUGCAUGUCUCAUGCAGCCGGAAAGUAUCAAAGCAGCUUCUAGCUUGCCUUUAGUGCACUUUUACAUUUUAGACCUCAGAUCAGGCGGGACUACCCGCUGAACUUAAGCAUAUCAAUAAGCGGAGGA